CUGAGGAGGCUUUGUCCGAACAUCGAUAGAGAAGAUGGGUUGGUGACCGUUCUUGAAAUUCCAAUACCCGAAGAAAUGUUCACACCCAUGGGAAGCAACGUAACGUUGCGGUGGCAAAACAUGUUAACGUGGAUGAAGGCUCAAACAGAAGACAAAUUAUCCACCCCUACAGUUUCAGCGCGCUUAAAUGAGCUUCGUUUUCUCCUUUACCUCGUUGGCUCUCCUCUUAUCCCUCUUCAGGUCCAAUUAGGUCAUUCCGUCCGUCGUCCGGUCAGAGAUUGUUCUAUUGAAGCAUCAACGGCAAAGUAUAUAGUACAACAGUAUAUAGCGGCAACGGGAGGACAACCAGCAUUGAAUGCGGUGGAUAGUAUGUGUGUUCUUGGGCAGAUAAAGAUUGUUGCGUCAGAUUUUCACCAGACUUGUGAAACCGUUGAGGUGAAGAAAACCUCGGAAGAGAUGGGAGGGUUCGUUUUGUUGCAAAAGGACCCCGAUUUGUGGUGUUUAGAGAUUCUUGUGUCAGGGUGCAAGGUUUCUUGCGGUAGCAAUGGCAAGGUCUCUUGGCGCCAUUCCUCUAACCAGCAGACACCAAUUUCAAGAGGUGCUCCUAGACCUCUACGUCGUUUCCUUCAGGGAUUGGAUCCAAGGGCAACGGCUAACUUAUUUUUGGACGCGGCAUGCAUAGGAG
rnacentral:sRNA from 1 species